AGCGAACGCUGGCGGCAGGCCUAACACAUGCAAGUCGAACGAACCUUUCGGGGUUAGUGGCGGACGGGUGAGUAACACGUGGGAACGUGCCUUUAGGUUCGGAAUAACUCAGGGAAACUUGUGCUAAUACCGAAUGUGCCCUUCGGGGGAAAGAUUUAUCGCCUUUAGAGCGGCCCGCGUCUGAUUAGCUAGUUGGUUGAGGUAAUGGCUCACCAAGGCGACGAUCAGUAGCUGGUCUGAGAGGAUGAUCAGCCACAUUGGGACUGAGACACGGCCCAAACUCCUACGGGAGGCAGCAGUGGGGAAUCUUGCGCAAUGGGCGAAAGCCUGACGCAGCCAUGCCGCGUGAAUGAUGAAGGUCUUAGGAUUGUAAAAUUCUUUCACCGGGGACGAUAAUGUCGGUACCCGGAGAAGAAGCCCCGGCUAACUUCGUG
rnacentral:rRNA from 1 species